ACCGAGGGAGUGCCACACCAACGCGAGUAGCCCGCCAUCCCAGAUGGCUGCAAAAGCGGGCAUAAUGAACCGGUAA
rnacentral:ncRNA from 2 species